GAAAAUGUUGUCUCUCUUGAGUGGAUCCUGAGUACGACGGAGCACGUGAAAUUCCGUCGGAAUCUGGGAGGACCAUCUCCUAAGGCUAAAUACUCUCUAGUGACCGAUAGUGAACCAGUACCGUGAGGGAAAGGUGAAAAGCACCCCGGAAGGGGAGUGAAAUAGAACCUGAAACCGUGUGCUUACAAGUAGUCAGAGCCCGUUAAUGGGUGAUGGCGUGCCUUUUGUAGAAUGAACCGGCGAGUUACGAUUUGAUGCAAGGUUAAGCAGUAAAUGUGGAGCCGUAGCGAAAGCGAGUCUGAAUAGGGCGUUUAGUAUUUGGUCGUAGACCCGAAACCAGGUGAUCUACCCUUGGUCAGGUUGAAGUUCAGGUAACACUGAAUGGAGGACCGAACCGACUUACGUUGAAAAGUGAGCGGAUGAACUGAGGGUAGCGGAGAAAUUCCAAUCGAACCUGGAGAUAGCUGGUUCUCUCCGAAAUAGCUUUAGGGCUAGCCUCAAGUGAUGAUUAUUGGAGGUAGAGCACUGUUUGGACGAGGGGCCCCUCUCGGGUUACCGAAUUCAGACAAACUCCGAAUGCCAAUUAAUUUAACUUGGGAGUCAGAACAUGGGUGAUAAGGUCCGUGUUCGAAAGGGAAACAGCCCAGGCCACCAGCUAAGGUCCCAAAAUAUAUGUUAAGUGGAAAAGGAUGUGGCGUUGCCCAGACAACUAGGAUGUUGGCUUAGAAGCAGCCAUCAUUUAAAGAGUGCGUAAUAGCUCACUAGUCGAGUGACACUGCGCCGAAAAUGUACCGGGGCUAAACAUAUUACCGAAGCUGUGGAUUGUCCUUUGGACAAUGGUAGGAGAGCGUUCUAAGGGCGUUGAAGCAUGAUCGUAAGGACAUGUGGAGCGCUUAGAAGUGAGAAUGCCGGUGUGAGUAGCGAAAGACGGGUGAGAAUCCCGUCCACCGAUUGACUAAGGUUUCCAGAGGAAGGCUCGUCCGCUCUGGGUUAGUCGGGUCCUAAGCUGAGGCCGACAGGCGUAGGCGAUGGAUAACAGGUUGAUAUUCCUGUACCACCUAUAAUCGUUUUAAUCGAUGGGGGGACGCAGUAGGAUAGGCGAAGCGUGCGAUUGGAUUGCACGUCUAACCAGUAAGGCUGAGUAUUAGGCAAAUCCGGUACUCGUUAAGGCUGAGCUGUGAUGGGGAGAAGACAUUGUGUCUUCGAGUCGUUGAUUUCACACUGCCGAGAAAAGCCUCUAGAUAGAAAAUAGGUGCCCGUACCGCAAACCGACACAGGUAGUCAAGAUGAGAAUUCUAAGGUGAGCGAGCGAACUCUCGUUAAGGAACUCGGCAAAAUGACCCCGUAACUUCGGGAGAAGGGGUGCUCUUUAGGGUUAACGCCCAGAAGAGCCGCAGUGAAUAGGCCCAAGCGACUGUUUAUCAAAAACACAGGUCUCUGCUAAACCGUAAGGUGAUGUAUAGGGGCUGACGCCUGCCCGGUGCUGGAAGGUUAAGAGGAGUGGUUAGCUUCUGCGAAGCUACGAAUCGAAGCCCCAGUAAACGGCGGCCGUAACUAUAACGGUCCUAAGGUAGCGAAAUUCCUUGUCGGGUAAGUUCCGACCCGCACGAAAGGCGUAACGAUUUGGGCACUGUCUCAACGAGAGACUCGGUGAAAUCAUAGUACCUGUGAAGAUGCAGGUUACCCGCGACAGGACGGAAAGACCCCGUGGAGCUUUACUGUAGCCUGAUAUUGAAAUUCGGCACAGCUUGUACAGGAUAGGUAGGAGCCUUUGAAACGUGAGCGCUAGCUUACGUGGAGGCGCUGGUGGGAUACUACCCUAGCUGUGUUGGCUUUCUAACCCGCACCACUUAUCGUGGUGGGAGACAGUGUCAGGCGGGCAGUUUGACUGGGGCGGUCGCCUCCUAAAAGGUAACGGAGGCGCUCAAAGGUUCCCUCAGAAUGGUUGGAAAUCAUUCAUAGAGUGUAAAGGCAUAAGGGAGCUUGACUGCGAGACCUACAAGUCGAGCAGGGUCGAAAGACGGACUUAGUGAUCCGGUGGUUCCGCAUGGAAGGGCCAUCGCUCAACGGAUAAAAGCUACCCCGGGGAUAACAGGCUUAUCUCCCCCAAGAGUUCACAUCGACGGGGAGGUUUGGCACCUCGAUGUCGGCUCAUCGCAUCCUGGGGCUGUAGUCGGUCCCAAGGGUUGGGCUGUUCGCCCAUUAAAGCGGUACGCGAGCUGGGUUCAGAACGUCGUGAGACAGUUCGGUCCCUAUCCGUCGUGGGCGUAGGAAAUUUGAGAGGAGCUGUCCUUAGUACGAGAGGACCGGGAUGGACAUACCUCUGGUGUACCAGUUGUCGUGCCAACGGCAUAGCUGGGUAGCUAUGUGUGGACGGGAUAAGUGCUGAAAGCAUCUAAGCAUGAAGCCCCCCUCAAGAUGAGAUUUCCCAACUUCGGUUAUAAGAUCCCUCAA
rnacentral:rRNA from 1 species